rnacentral:lncRNA from 1 species
CACACCGACCGCUGUCAUGGCAAGAGGACACGUGGCCACCGCGUUUCUGAGACGGAUCUUAGGAACUUGGCCUCGUACAGGUUUGGCGGCUGCACAGCGUCUCGCUGCCUGCCUCCCAGGACCGCCGACCACCCCCAAGGCGCGUGUUCAGCCACACCAACAACCAGGCCCACCUCGGAGGGCCGCUCCCGAGUAAUGAGCCACGCCAGGCCCCACUCUGUUGAAGGAGUCCUCUGUGGCUCGCGGCCGGCUCAUUACUGCAGGUGUUUGUUUAUUCAGGCUCCGAUGGGUGGGCCAAGCCCGCUGCAGACAGCGCGUUCCUCACUGAGUCCUGCUCUCACCCCCUUUCCUCCAGGACUCGCCCCUCUCCGGGGGCUCCAGGGGCGGGGGCGGGGGGAGGCCAAGCAGCUCACUGUCCCGGGAGCCCGGGUGGAGGAGCCAGAGACGGAAGUGGAAGGGGGCCGCUCCCAUGCCAGGCUGCCCGCCCGCGCCUCCCUGGCAACAAGGCCUGUCUGGGACCCAGGGCUCCCUGCCGCGAGACAUGAGACAGGAGCUCUGGGGACCGCUGCCACCCGGCCUGGGCACAGGCUGGCUGUGGGCCGUGGGCCUGGAGGGACCCGAGGAGAAGGGCUCCUGUCGAUGGAGCCCCGGCGGCGGCAGAGCAUCCUCUUCCUCCUGCUCGGCCUCCCUCCAUCCUCCAGGCCCUUCUCCUCCUCCUCGCCGGGACCCCUCACCCCCACCCCAUGGUGGCGGCCGGCUGACAACUACUCCGCAGGGUCCCUAACCGGGCUGGCCACACCCUCAUCUCGCAGAGCUCAGCUCAGGCCCCCCUGUGCCAACCCUCGUCUCCAGCACAGAGACCUCUCUCCGCGCAGAGUCCAUAAAUGCAGCACAGCCCAGAAUGCAAAGACAAGGCGGAACAGAGCAGCACUUCGGCGGGGGCCCUCUGCCACCUGGCUUCAUUCAGUCCUGGGCACGCAGGGUCUGUCUCUGUUGGACUCGAUUUCUCCA